rnacentral:sRNA from 1 species
AAAGAAGAAGAAGAGAAAAAAAA